CGAAACUUCUUUAUCACCGAGUGCUUGCACUCACCGAUAAAGAGUUGAGUGGCGAACGGGUGAGUAACACGUGGGCAACCUGCCCAAAAGAGGGGGAUAACACUUGGAAACAGGUGCUAAUACCGCAUAACCAUAGUUACCGCAUGGUAACUAUGUAAAAGGUGGCUAUGCUACCGCUUUUGGAUGGGCCCGCGGCGCAUUAGCUAGUUGGUGGGGUAAAGGCUUACCAAGGCAAUGAUGCGUAGCCGAACUGAGAGGUUGAUCGGCCACAUUGGGACUGAGACACGGCCCAAACUCCUACGGGAGGCAGCAGUAGGGAAUCUUCCACAAUGGGCGAAAGCCUGAUGGAGCAACGCCGCGUGGGUGAAGAAGGUCUUCGGAUCGUAAAACCCUGUUGUUAGAGAAGAAAGUGCGUGAGAGUAACUGUUCACGUUUCGACGGUAUCUAACCAGAAAGCCACGGCUAACUACGUGCCAGCAGCCGCGGUAAUACGUAGGUGGCAAGCGUUAUCCGGAUUUAUUGGGCGUAAAGGGAACGCAGGCGGUCUUUUAAGUCUGAUGUGAAAGCCUUCGGCUUAACCGGAGUAGUGCAUUGGAAACUGGGAGACUUGAGUGCAGAAGAGGAGAGUGGAACUCCAUGUGUAGCGGUGAAAUGCGUAGAUAUAUGGAAGAACACCAGUGGCGAAAGCGGCUCUCUGGUCUGUAACUGACGCUGAGGUUCGAAAGCGUGUGUAGCAAACAGGA
rnacentral:rRNA from 1 species